CCUACGGGAGGCAGCAGUGAGGAAUAUUGGUCAAUGGACGAGAGUCUGAACCAGCCAAGUAGCGUGAAGGAUGACUGCCCUAUGGGUUGUAAACUUCUUUUAUAUGGGAAUAAAAUGUUCCACGUGUGGGAUUUUGUAUGUACCAUAUGAAUAAGGAUCGGCUAACUCCGUGCCAGCAGCCGCGGUAAGACGGAGGAUCCGAGCGUUAUCCGGAUUUAUUGGGUUUAAAGGGAGCGUAGGUGGAUUGUUAAGUCCGUUGUGAAAGUUUGCGGCUCAACCGUAAAAUUGCAGUUGAAACUGGCAGUCUUGAGUACAGUAGAGGUGGGCGGACUUCGUGGUGUAGCGGUGAAAUGCUUAGAUAUCACGAAGAACUCCGAUUGCGAAGGCAGUUCACUGGACUGCAACUGACACUGAGGCUCGAAAGUGUGGGUAUCAAACAGGAUUAGAUACCCCUGUAGUC
rnacentral:rRNA from 1 species